GAAAAAGAUUUUCUGAAAGAAAAAAAGGAGCUCUAUAUAUAUAUAUAUAGAGAGAGAGAGAGUCUAGGUACUAUACUUAUUAUAUUCUUAUGAAUAUAGACCUUCUUGUACUCAUAAAUUUUUAACCGUUAAUUGAUGGGAUGUGUGGUUACGAUGAUGGUGGUUAAUUUCCACUUAGAAUAAUGGUGGUUCCCACUUAGAAUGAUAGUAGUCCUCUAGAGUUGAGCGGGUAGUUGGUUGAAUAGUAUGAUCUAACAGGUGAAAAUAAUCAAUGAAAUAUAUAAAUCUAAAAGCUGAAAACUUAUGAGUAUAAGAGAGCCAAUACUUAUAAAAGUAUAGUAACCGGACUCCUUAUAAGUAUAUGUCUCUUUAUAUUCGUUAGUUUUCGACAGUAAAAUAUAUUCCUUUCAUCAUUUCCACCUAUUAGAUCAUACUAUUUAAUUAACCACUCACUCAACCAUAGAGGAUCACCAUCAUUUUAACUGGAAACCAUUAUUAUCCUAACUACACAUCCCUUUAUCCAUCCACUGAAAACUUAUGAGCACAAAAGAAUCUAUACUCACAAAAGUAUAAUAGUCCUAGCAUAUAUAUAUAUAUAUAUAUAGAGAGAGAGAGAGAGAGAGAGAGAGAGAGAGAGAGAGAGAGAGAGAGAGAGAGAGAGAGAGUUGUGCUGGUAUGCUUAUGGAAGCACGGAGGCUUCCGUGCUUUCAAGUCGUUUUCGAUGUUCGGACUUUCGAAACGACGAUCGGCUCCGUUAGACUUGAUCUAGAGUAUUUGAAGUACCUAGAAAAUAAAUUUUGUGAUUUUUCGAUAUCAUUUGCCUAGUGAUCAAAGGGGCUCAAAAUCAAUAAUUUUAAUGGCCGUGGUGAGCCGUUUGCAAGUUUAACGGUGUAGAAAUAUUCAAAUCACGUGAAAUUUUGAUAGAAAAUUCUUUAUACUAUAUAAAAUAAGAUUAAUAUCUUUGAUCUAAAUUUUUAAUGUCAUAUCAUCACAUUUUGUGAGAUUUUUAUUUUCAGCCGCUGAUUUUGAGCCCCUUCGAUCACUAGGCAAAUGAUAUCGAAAAAUCGCAAAAUUUAUUUUCUAGGUACUUCAAAUACUCUAAAUCAAGUCUAACGGAGCCGAUCGUCAAUUCGAAAGAUCCAACAUCGAAAACAACUUGGAAGCACGGAGUGCUCCGUUCUUCCAUAAGCAUACUAGCCGCACUCUAUAUAUAUAUAUAU
rnacentral:lncRNA from 1 species